AUGGAAACUGAAUUAUUUCUGUAUAUUUUUUUUUUUUUUUUUUUUUGGUCAGCUUGCAUGUGCCAUUUCUCCUUACAGUGUUUUGCACUGGGGUGUGCAGCAGCUGCCCUGCAGAGAGCACUGAGCAGAUCCAAUCCAGAGCUGGAAUCCUGGCAUUUAGGCAAAGCGGCCGGGUGAAGUGUUGGAGCUAGGGAUUCGCUGCAGACCGCUGAUACUCUGCGAUACAGGAAAGCAGCUGAGCACUAAGAUCAGUUCCAUGGGAAAGCGAACUGGGAACCACAUCGGUGUUGCAUCUCCAGCCGGAGGCGUGGGGACAACUCAACAGGGACAGCCAUGAAAUGAAGCGGAGUGGCAGAAAGCUGAGAGCAAUUCCCCUUUUCUAGAAGAAGAGAGUGAGUUCUUCCAGAAGCAAACUAAGAUCAUGUCUUCCAGAGCUUGCUGGAGCCCGCUAUGCGUAAAGCUCAUCUCUGGAGACUAACAGGUUACCUUGUCAGAAAUGUCCUAUAUGUGAAGUGUUUUUGCAAAUGCACAAAAGAACAAAAAGCCUCAAAAAUAUCUUUGAAAAGGACUGGAACUGCCAAGGUCGUUUGGUUGUGAUUAGGCACAAAUUUCCAAUCGGAAAAGAGCCUCUCCAGCAGGUUGGU